GUAGAUUACAAUGGAGAGGCCGCCGAAUACCAGUGAAAAUCAGUUAAGGGUUGUGUAGGCGGUCUCUGAAUUCAUCUAGAUGAUAGAUCUCCAUCUACAUUUACAGUCACUCCGAAUUGUAAUGUGAUCCCCAACCGGUGGGAGGCAGCAGUCUGCCGCGAGGCAUCCAGUCUGCCGGAAACUUGCAAGAAGAAGUCCGCCAUCUUUGCCCAGAUGAGUUGAGUGGAGAAAAGUUUGUAGCUUGCAAACAACUUCGAUAUAUUUUGAAAUAACAACGGGGAAGCAGAUAUUUUCUCUCGGAAAUUCGACGUUGGAUUGUCCGUGAAGACAUUUGAGGUGAAACACGCGGUGACACGCAGCAGUUUUCUGGAUGUGAUCAGCGAACCUUUUCCUCUUUGCUAACCGCUAAUUUGGUGUCGCCACUUUGCCCACGAUCGCAGAGACAUGGUCCAUGAUCGGAGAGACAUUGUUGAGGAUGAGGGAGACAUCGUCCACGAUCAGAGACAUUGUCUAUGAUCGCAGAGACCUUGUCAAAGAUGAGAGAGACGUUGUCCUUGAUCAGAGACAUUGUCCCAUGCUUCGUAGAGACCUUGCGAUAGAAUCGGCGGAGACGGGGGUCACCGAUUUGACGGCACUGCCCGCGAUCAUGGAGACAUUGUCGAUGGUCACAGAGACGCCGUCUAUGAUCUCAGAGACAUCGUCCACGAUCACAAAGACAUUGUCCAUGAUCACAGAGACUUUGUCCAUAAUCUCAGAGACAUUGUCCGCGAUCACAGAGACGUAAUCCACGAUCACAGAGACGUAAUCCACGAUCACAGAGACGUAAUCCACGAUCACAGAGUGUCUUUGUACAAUGAAGAAGUUCUUUGAGAUCAGGACAGAGUCCUCCAGGUGUCGCCACUUUGCCCACGAUCGCAGAGACAUGGUCCGUGAUCGCAGAGACAUUGUCGAGGAUGAGGGAGACAUCGUCCACGAUCAGAGACAUUGUCUAUGAUCGCAGAGACCUUGUCAAAGAUGAGAGAGACGUUGUCCUUGAUCAGAGACAUUGUCCCAUGCUUCGUAGAGACCUUGCGAUAGAAUCGGCGGAGACGGGGGUCACCGAUUUGACGGCACUGCCCGCGAUCAUGGAGACAUUGUCGAUGGUCACAGAGACGCCGUCUAUGAUCUCAGAGACAUCGUCCACGAUCACAAAGACAUUGUCCAUGAUCACAGAGACUUUGUCCAUAAUCUCAGAGACAUUGUCCACGUUUACAGAGACGUAGUCCACGAUCACAGAGUGUCUUUGAACAAUGAAGAAGUUCUUUGAGAUCAGGACAGAGUCCUACAGGUGUCGCCACUUUGCCCACGAUCGCAGAGACAUGGUCCAUGAUCGGAGAGACAUUGUUGAGGAUGAGGGAGACAUCGUCCACGAUCAGAGACAUUGUCUAUGAUCGCAGAGACCUUGUCAAAGAUGAGAGAGACGUUGUCCUUGAUCAGAGACAUUGUCCCAUGCUUCGUAGAGACCUUGCGAUAGAAUCGGCGGAGACGGGGGUCACCGAUUUGACGGCACUGCCCGCGAUCAUGGAGACAUUGUCGAUGGUCACAGAGACGCCGUCUAUGAUCUCAGAGACAUCGUCCACGAUCACAAAGACAUUGUCCAUGAUCACAGAGACUUUGUCCAUAAUCUCAGAGACAUUGUCCGCGAUCACAGAGACGUAGUCCACGAUCACAGAGUGUCUUUGAACAAUGAAGAAGUUCUUUGAGAUCAGGACAGAGGCCUCCAGGCGUCGCCACUUUGCCCACGAUCGCAGAGACAUGGUCCAUGAUCGGAGAGACAUUGUUGAGGAUGAGGGAGACAUCGUCCACGAUCAGAGACGUUGUCCAUGAUCACAGAGACCUUGUCAAAGAUGAGAGAGACGUUGUCCUUGAUCAGAGACAUUGUCCCAUGCUUCGUAGAGACCUUGCGAUAGAAUCGGCGGAGACGGGGGUCACCGAUUUGACGGCACUGCCCGCGAUCAUGGAGACAUUGUCGAUGGUCACAGAGACGCCGUCUAUGAUCUCAGAGACAUCGUCCACGAUCACAAAGACAUUGUCCAUGAUCACAGAGACUUUGUCCAUAAUCUCAGAGACAUUGUCCGCGAUCACAGAGACGUAGUCCACGAUCACAGAGACGUAAUCCACGAUUACAGAGAGUUUUUGUACAAUGAAGAAGUUCUUUGAGACCAGGACAGAGUCCUCCAGGUAAUUCACAA